rnacentral:sRNA from 1 species
UACAUAUAAGGCAUAUGAUUUAUGAGUGAAAUAGUGAAAUUCAGAGUCAGGUUCCAUUGCUUCUCCAACCAGCCCUUCCCAGGGAACAUUCACACAGUACCUAAGCCAUAGAGGUCAACAUUGCAAGCUAAACUCUGCACCAUUGUACAUAAAACUGUUUUGUUGAACGGAGAGGACGUGACAGAGACAAGGAAAGAGAAAGAUAUAGGCUAAUGUAAAAGACCAGUGGUCAAGUAAGAACUCCCUACAAGACACAGAGAACCACAAGUUUACUUUUGCCUGUGAAACAAUCUUAGGGAGAAGAAAAUUCUGGAACAAGGUAAA